UACGGAGGGGGCUAGCGUUGUUCGGAAUUACUGGGCGUAAAGGGCGCGUAGGCGGUCGUGACAAGUCACUUGUGAAAUCUCCGGGCUUAACUCGGAACGGUCAAGUGAUACUGUCGGACUAGAGUACAGAAGGGGCAACUGGAAUUCCGCGUGUAGCAGUGAAAUGCGUAGAUAUGCGGAGGAACACCGAUGGCGAAGGCAAUCCCCUGGGCCUGUACUGACGCUCAUGCACGAAAGCGUGGGGAGCAAACAGG
rnacentral:rRNA from 1 species